rnacentral:rRNA from 1 species
UACGUAGGGGGCAAGCGUUGUCCGGAUUUAUUGGGCGUAAAGAGCGUGUAGGCGGCCUGAAAGGUCAGCUGUGAAAACUCGGGGCUCAACCCCGAGACGUCGGUUGAAACCAUCUGGCUAGAGUCCGGAAGAGGAGAGUGGAAUUCCUGGUGUAGCGGUGAAAUGCGCAGAUAUCAGGAAGAACACCCGUGGCUAAGGCGGCUCUCUAGUACGGUACUGACGCUGAGACGCGAAAGCGUGGGGAGCGAACAGG